GCUCUAUAUUAGUUAAAGUUGCUGUAUAUUAGAUAAAGUUGCUCUAUAUUAGUUAAAGUUGCUCUAUAUUAGUUAAAGUUGCUCUAUAUUAGAUAAAGUUGCUCUAUAUUAGUUAAAGUUGCUCUAUAUUAGAUAAAGUUGCUC